rnacentral:tRNA from 1 species
GCAACGAUGUCCGAGUGGUUACGGAGUUUGACUUUCACUCUGCCCGCGUAGGUUCGAAUCCUGCUAGCUGCG